CUUGCUUCUUUUCCCCCUUCCUGUGAUAUGCAAGUAACCAUCUGCUGUUUUAAACGGCAUUGUCGCCAGCACAAACUGUCAGAGGAAUGACUCAUCAGAGAAUGCUGAGUUGAAGACGUAGACGAAGGAAGGUCUAAGGAAGGAAGGAAGUCCUCACCAAAAAUGAACAACAAUGGGACAUUGUAAAUGGAUGAAACUAUAAAAUACCAUCCUGACUGAAGUAACCCAG